AAAACAUAGCCUUAAGUAGUUAUUUAAGGUGAAACCUGCCCAAUGAUAAUUUUAAUGGCCGCGGUACCUUGACCGUGCUAAGGUAGCAUAAUCAGUUGACUUUUGAAUGGAGUCUGGAAUGAACGGGAAAACGGGAUUAAGCUGUCUCUAUUAUUAUAUUUUUAAGUUACUAAUUAGGUGAAAAGGCCUAAAAAUGACAAAAGACGAGAAGACCCUUGGAGUUUAAAAAUUAUUUUUGUUGGGGCGACAAAGAAUCUAAACAUUCUUAACUUAUAGGACGUAUUUUUAAUGACUAAAUAAACUACCCAAGGGAUAACAGCAUAAUCUUUCAUGGGUUUGUGACCUCGAUGUUGGACUAGGAAGCUUGUAGAUUAGCCGUCUAUAAUGGGAGAUUCUGUUCGAAUUUUUCUUCCUACGUGAUCU
rnacentral:rRNA from 1 species